AAUGCCCUUUAUACGGCGAGUGAGCGGCAAUAGCUCAAAUUUGAAUCUGGCACCUUCGGUGUCCGAGUUGUAAUUUGAAGAAGGCAUCUUUGGUUUUGGACCUUGCCUAUGUUCCUUGGAACAGGACGUCAUGGAGGGUGAGAAUCCCGUGUGAUGAGAUGCCCAAUUCCAUGUAAAGUUCCUUCGACGAGUCGAGUUGUUUGGGAAUGCAGCUCUAAGUGGGUGGUAAAUUCCAUCUAAAGCUAAAUAUUGGCGAGAGACCGAUAGCGAACAAGUACUGUGAAGGAAAGAUG
rnacentral:rRNA from 1 species